rnacentral:rRNA from 1 species
GACGAACGCUGGCGGCGUGCCUAACACAUGCAAGUCGAACGGAAAGGCCCUGCUUUUGUGGGGUUCUCGAGUGGCGAACGGGUGAGUAACACGUGAGUAACCUGCCUUUGACUUUGGGAUAACUUCAGGAAACUGGGGCUAAUACCGACUAGGAGCUCCUGCUGCAUGGUGGGGGUUGGAAAGCUUCGGCGGUUGGGGGUGGAGUUGCGGCUUAUCAGCUUGUUGGUGGGGGAGUGGCUUACCAAGGCUUUGACGGGUAGCCGGCGUGAGAGGGUGAACGGCCACAUUGGGACUGAGAUACGGCCCAGACUGGUACGGGAGGCAGCAGUGGGGAAUAUUGCACAAUGGGCGGAAGCCUGAUGCAGCAACGCCGCGUGCGGGAUGACGGCCUUCGGGUUGUAAACCGCUUUCGCCUGUGACGAAGCGUGAGUGACGGUAAUGGGUAAAGAAGCACCGGCUAACUACGUG